UAUGUACUAGAAAAAUAAUGAUUAAAGCACUUUUAAACAUAAAACCAACAAGGAAAACUAGUGACCAGAUCAGCCUAAAUAGGAUGUACCUGUAAGACUGCUGACCCGUUCUUUAGCCCUUGACCUUUUAGAACCAAC